UACAGAGGGUGCGAGCGUUAAUCGGAAUUACUGGGCGUAAAGCGUGCGUAGACGGUUAUUUAAGUCGGAUGUGAAAGCCCCGGGCUCAACCUGGGAAUUGCAUUCGAGACUGAAUAGCUAGGGUGCGGUAGAGGGAAGCGGAAUUUCCGGUGUAGCGGUGAAAUGCGUAGAUAUCGGAAGGAACAUCAGUGGCGAAAGCGACUUCCUGGACCAAUACUGACGCUCAUGUGCGAAAGCGUGGGGAGCAAACAGG
rnacentral:rRNA from 1 species